rnacentral:rRNA from 1 species
AACGAACGCUGGCGGCGCGCCUAACACAUGCAAGUCGAACGAGAAUCCGGGGCAACCCGGUAGUAAAGUGGCAAACGGGUGAGGAAUACAUGGGUAACCUACCCUUGAGAAGGGAAUAACCCGCCGAAAGGUGAGCUAAUACCCUAUACGCUAUCUUUUUUUCGAAAAGGAUAGGAAAGCCGGGUCGAGGACCUGGUACUCAAGGAGGGGCUCAUGUCCUAUCAGCUUGUUGGUGGGGUAACGGCCUACCAAGGCUACGACGGGUAGCUGGUCUGAGAGGAUGAUCAGCCACACUGGCACUGAGAUACGGGCCAGACUCCUACGGAGGCAGCAGUGAGGAAGUAAUUGUCGCAAUAGGGCGGAAAGACCU